rfam:Neisseria gonorrhoeae FA 1090, complete genome.
GAACAUAAGAGUUUGAUCCUGGCUCAGAUUGAACGCUGGCGGCAUGCUUUACACAUGCAAGUCGGACGGCAGCACAGGGAAGCUUGCUUCUCGGGUGGCGAGUGGCGAACGGGUGAGUAACAUAUCGGAACGUACCGGGUAGCGGGGGAUAACUGAUCGAAAGAUCAGCUAAUACCGCAUACGUCUUGAGAGGGAAAGCAGGGGACCUUCGGGCCUUGCGCUAUCCGAGCGGCCGAUAUCUGAUUAGCUGGUUGGCGGGGUAAAGGCCCACCAAGGCGACGAUCAGUAGCGGGUCUGAGAGGAUGAUCCGCCACACUGGGACUGAGACACGGCCCAGACUCCUACGGGAGGCAGCAGUGGGGAAUUUUGGACAAUGGGCGCAAGCCUGAUCCAGCCAUGCCGCGUGUCUGAAGAAGGCCUUCGGGUUGUAAAGGACUUUUGUCAGGGAAGAAAAGGCCGUUGCCAAUAUCGGCGGCCGAUGACGGUACCUGAAGAAUAAGCACCGGCUAACUACGUGCCAGCAGCCGCGGUAAUACGUAGGGUGCGAGCGUUAAUCGGAAUUACUGGGCGUAAAGCGGGCGCAGACGGUUACUUAAGCAGGAUGUGAAAUCCCCGGGCUCAACCCGGGAACUGCGUUCUGAACUGGGUGACUCGAGUGUGUCAGAGGGAGGUGGAAUUCCACGUGUAGCAGUGAAAUGCGUAGAGAUGUGGAGGAAUACCGAUGGCGAAGGCAGCCUCCUGGGAUAACACUGACGUUCAUGUCCGAAAGCGUGGGUAGCAAACAGGAUUAGAUACCCUGGUAGUCCACGCCCUAAACGAUGUCAAUUAGCUGUUGGGCAACUUGAUUGCUUGGUAGCGUAGCUAACGCGUGAAAUUGACCGCCUGGGGAGUACGGUCGCAAGAUUAAAACUCAAAGGAAUUGACGGGGACCCGCACAAGCGGUGGAUGAUGUGGAUUAAUUCGAUGCAACGCGAAGAACCUUACCUGGUUUUGACAUGUGCGGAAUCCUCCGGAGACGGAGGAGUGCCUUCGGGAGCCGUAACACAGGUGCUGCAUGGCUGUCGUCAGCUCGUGUCGUGAGAUGUUGGGUUAAGUCCCGCAACGAGCGCAACCCUUGUCAUUAGUUGCCAUCAUUCGGUUGGGCACUCUAAUGAGACUGCCGGUGACAAGCCGGAGGAAGGUGGGGAUGACGUCAAGUCCUCAUGGCCCUUAUGACCAGGGCUUCACACGUCAUACAAUGGUCGGUACAGAGGGUAGCCAAGCCGCGAGGCGGAGCCAAUCUCACAAAACCGAUCGUAGUCCGGAUUGCACUCUGCAACUCGAGUGCAUGAAGUCGGAAUCGCUAGUAAUCGCAGGUCAGCAUACUGCGGUGAAUACGUUCCCGGGUCUUGUACACACCGCCCGUCACACCAUGGGAGUGGGGGAUACCAGAAGUAGGUAGGGUAACCGCAAGGAGUCCGCUUACCACGGUAUGCUUCAUGACUGGGGUGAAGUCGUAACAAGGUAGCCGUAGGGGAACCUGCGGCUGGAUCACCUCCUUU